rnacentral:misc_RNA from 1 species
AGCCAAUUAAUCUCUAUUGAGAGAAAGAUGCCCACAGAUUUAUUAGAUAUGGUCUCUUCUAAGGUGAAAUAGAAAACAAAUAGGAAAAGAAUUCAACCACCCAACAAGCUUUAUUAUACAAAAUGAUAAACAAAUGAAUAAAAAUCUGAAAAUUUUUCUUUCAGCUCUAGAUUCUAGAUUUCAAUAAAUAAACAAAUCUUCCACUUUACCUGAUAAAGAUGAAGAUGAAGAA